GGUUCCCGCUUGGAAGGGGGGGUGGGGGACGGACAGAGCACAAAGCAGGGCAGGUUUCCCGCUUGGAAGGGGGGGUGGGGGACGGACAGAGCACACCGCAGGGCAGGUUUCCCGCUUGGAAGGGGGGGUGGGGGACGGACAGAGCACACCGCAGGGCAGGUUUCCCGCUUGGAAGGGGGGGUGGGGGACGGACAGAGCACACCGCAGGGCAGGUUUCCCGCUUGGAAGGGGGGGUGGGGGACGGACAGAGCACACCGCAGGGCAGGUUUCACGCUUGGAAGGGGGGAUCGGUGAGGAAGAAGCACCCCGCAGGACACGGUUCCCGCUUGGAAGGGGGGUGGGGGACGGACAGAGCACACCGCAGGGCAGGUUUCACGCUUGGAAGGGGGGAUCGGUGAGGAAGAAGCACCCCGCAGGACACGGUUCCCGCUUGGAAGGGGGGGUGGGGGACGGACAGAGCACACCGCAGGGCAGGUUUCACGCUUGGAAGGGGGGAUCGGUGAGGAAGAAGCACCCCGCAGGACACGGUUCCCGCUUGGAAGGGGGGGUGGGGGACGGACAGAGCACACCGCAGGGCAGGUUUCACGCUUGGAAGGGGGGAUCGGUGAGGAAGAAGCACCCCGCCUGGAUGCCUACGUGCUGGGAAGGGCAGGGGGGGGUGGAUUGGGGCAGAGGAAACAGACCGCCUUGCGCUGGGGAGCCGUGCUUCUAGCUACCUGCCCUCAAUUAUCCCUAAACUAUCCACAGGCUUUCAUAAUGCC